rnacentral:lncRNA from 1 species
GGGGACUAUGGCCUGUGGGAAGGUCUGUGUCCUGACUCAGUGAGGCAGGCUCUCCCCAGCUCCAUUGACUAGUGUGGGAAAGGAGGGCCAAGAGGGCAGGACUUUCCAGAGUUUCCAGAGAAUCCCCAUAUCUGGAUUUUAAUGAGAAUUCUGCUCUUUAUAUCUCGUUUGUUCAUCCACUCUGUUUACUGAACGCCUAUUAUGUGCCGACCUAAACUUGCGAACAAAACAAACAAAAACACCUGCUUUAUGGGAGCCUUUAAUCUAAUGGGGGAUUAAUUAAAAUGACUAGAUCACUUAUUAAAUAUUUUAGAUGGCAAUAUGUGCCAUCUCCAUUUUAUGGAGAAAAACAAUGCAGGGAAAGGGGAGGCAGAAGGUUGUAGAUGUACUACAACUUUGCAUGAGGUGGACAGGGAAGGUUUAACUAACAAGGUGACAUUUGUGAGCUCACAUAACACAUAACUCGUUCAUUCAUUACAUUCAAAUACUGAGCACUUAUGAUGUGUGAUACCUGAUUCAAGGUAGUGGAAAUAGACCGAUGAAUGAGACAGACAAAUCCUUCCCUCCAGGGAAAGACCAAUGACAAACAAGAAACCAAAGAGGAUGUCAGAUAGUAUUCCUUGCAAUGACGGGCAUAAACCAAAGUAGUGUUGCAGAGGGUGAGUGGCUAUCUGGACAAGGUAGUGGGAGAAGAGAAGGCUCAGUGAUAAGGAGCCUGUCAUUCAAGGGUCUGGGGAAAGGCAUCAAGGUGAAGGAGUAGCAAGGGCAAGAACUCUGAGAUGGGACCAAGCUAGGCCAAGAUGUCAAGCAACCAUGGAGAUGACCUGGUUCAUGGGAACAGAGCAGAGCACUUCUGGUAUGGAAACCCAUGACCAAGUCAGGCCCAGCAAAAUUGUGAAGUAGAAAAUGUUUACAGUGACUUUCUCCUUUUUUGUUCUAGAAACCAUUUUCUGAUCUCAUUUAAUCCCUUAGUUCUUUAUCUUUCAAACUUAACUGUUGAAAAAAGAUGUGAUAACUCACAUAGACCCCAAGAUAGGAAGGCUAAAAAGGGAUUAUUCCUUCUCAGUGUAUUUACAUUUAAAUUACAAGAUGAAUUUAAUUAUAAAAUUUGAUGGAUCAGUUGUUUGAGUAUUGGAGUAUUUUAUAGUUGGGGGAGUAUAUAAUUUCCUACCGCUUCCAAAACAAAUUACCACAAACGUAGUGACUUAAGUCAAUACAAAUUUAUUACUUUCUAGUUCAGGAGAUCAGAAGUACAAACUGGGCUGUGCCAAGAAUCCAUUUCCUUUUUCUGCUUCUAGAAGAGAAAUUCCUUGGCUUGUAGUCUCCCGUCACUCUAACCUCUGCUUCUACCAUCCUAUCCUGUUCUCUGACUCUGACCCUCCUGCCUCCUCUUAUGAGGACCCUGUGGUUAGGUUGAGCCCAUUUAGAUAAUCCCCAGAUAAUCUUCCCAUUUUAAGAUCCUCAAUUUAAUUUUAGUUGCAAAGCCUCUUUUGCCAUGAAGGUAACAUUCACAGGUUGUAGGGAUUAGAUAUGGAGCCAUUAUUCUUUCUACCAUAGCACAUGACAUUCUGG